UAAUACCAGCACCCCGAGUGGUCGGGACGAUUAUUGGGCCUAAAGCAUCCGUAGCCGGUUCUGCAAGUCUUCCGUUAAAUCCACCUGCUCAACAGAUGGGCCGCGGGGGAUACUACAGGGCUAGGAGGCGGGAGAGGCAAGCGGUACUCGGUGGGUAGGGGUAAAAUCCUCUGAUCCACCGAAGACCACCAGUGGCGAAGGCGG
rnacentral:rRNA from 1 species